rnacentral:misc_RNA from 1 species
GAUGAAGAACGUAGCAAAAUGCGAUAAGUAAUGUGAAUUGCAGAAUUCCGUGAAUCAUCGAAUCUUUGAACGCACAUUGCGCCCUCUGGUAUUCCGGGGGGCAUGCCUGUCCGAGCGUCAUUUGCAACCCUCAAGCCCGGCUUGUGUGAUGGGUGCCGUCCCCUACGGGACGCGCCCCGAAGGCAAUGGCGGCGUCGCGGUUAUCCGAUCAGCCAAAGUGUAUGGGGCUUUGUCACUCACUUUACGGCCCGGACCGGCGCCAGUCCGAAUCAAUCUUUUUUCUAAAGUUGACCUCGGAUCAGGUAGGGAUACCCGCUGAACUUAAGCAUAUCAAUAAGCGGAGGA